rnacentral:lncRNA from 1 species
CACUUAUAUUUAGCAUCCUCUUUAAUGUGUUCAUCCAUCCAGAGAGAUAAUCAUGACAAAUAUCUUUACUCCUAGUGUACAGAUGAGGUAAUUGAGACCCAACAUGUCCAAAGUCACAUGGAAAGACAGAAGAAGAGCUCAGGCCGCUAAAGGAGCUGGGAGGUUAGAGGGGUUUCAGCAAUUACCUAGUCCCAAACCCUUACUGAACAGAUGAGAGAACUGAGGCUUAAAGGGGUUAAUAAAGCUUUGCUGGUCUGACGUGGAGAUCCCCUGGCCCUCCCCACUGCUGGGGCAUUCUAGUGCCACCAAGGGAGAGAUGACAGAAAGCUUCUAACCUGCUUCUAUGCUCUGUUCACUAGCUCAGUGUGAAGAGCAGGACAGUGAGGCCUGGUCCUUCUGGUUCUCCUAUGUGGGAUGCUGCCUCAGCAUGGCUUGAUGAGUGAUGCGAGAUCCGCACCCAGGAUCCAAAGUGGCGAAACCCUGGACUGCUGGAGCAGAGCAAGUGAACUUAACCACUUGGCCCGGGGCUGGCCCCACUUCAAGUAUUCUUGAAAAAAAAAGAAUAAAGUGGGAUAACUUGUUGCAUCAGAUAUUAAGACUUAUAAAGUUACAGUAAUUAACACAGUG